UACGGAGGGAGCUAGCGUUAUUCGGAAUUACUGGGCGUAAAGCGCACGUAGGCGGAUUGCUAAGUCAGGGGUGAAAUCCUGGAGCUCAACUCCAGAACUGCCUUUGGUACUGAAGAUCUUGAGUUCGGGAGAGGUGAGUGGAACUGCGAGUGUAGAGGUGAAAUUCGUAGAUAUUCGCAAGAACACCAGUGGCGAAGGCGGCUCACUGGCCCGAUACUGACGCUGAGGCACGAAAGCGUGGGGAGCAAACAGG
rnacentral:rRNA from 1 species